AUUGAACGCUGGCGGCAUGCUUUACACAUGCAAGUCGAGCGGCAGCGCGGGGGCAACCCUGGCGGCGAGCGGCGAACGGGUGAGUAAUGCAUCGGAACGUACCCUGGAGUGGGGGAUAACGCCGCGAAAGCGGCGCUAAUACCGCAUAUGCUCUGAGGAGGAAAGUGGGGGACCGCAAGGCCUCACGCUCUGGGAGCGGCCGAUGUCCGAUUAGCUAGUUGGUGGGGUAAAGGCUUACCAAGGCGACGAUCGGUAGCUGGUCUGAGAGGAUGAUCAGCCACACUGGGACUGGGACACGGCCCAGAAUCCUACGGGAGGCAGCAGUGGGGAAUUUUGGACAAUGGGGGCAACCCUGAUCCAGCCAUGCCGCGUGAGUGAAGAAGGCCUUCGGGUUGUAAAGCUCUUUUGGUCGGGAAGAAAGUGCUCUGCUUAAUACGCGGGGUAUUUGACGGUACCGGCAGAAUAAGCACCGGCUAACUACGUGCCAGCAGCCGCCGUAAUAC
rnacentral:rRNA from 1 species